GGAACGAGGCAGGUGAGCAGGCAGCGGAGCUCCCCAGGGAGCUCAGCCCAGCCUCACGAGGAGCGAGGGCUGGCAGAUGUUACAUGUGAGGUGAUUGCUGUUUUUCACGAAGGAUGCCUUGCUCUGCUCAGCAGCUGCAGAUGAGAGGAAGCAUUGGGACUGCAAAGCACUGACUUGAACACCAGCUUUGCACCCUGUGAGUCAGCGCUGCCUCCUUACCUGGAGCUGGGGGCUUGGCUGCUUUCUCCUGAUACCCCAUCCCUGCAGGCACUCAAGGCCAGGGAACUUCACAUCCUGGCCUCUGCCUCUGCGAAGGAAGACCCACAUCCUCAAUCUCAGCUGUACUCUUCCAAGGAAUGAAAUCUAGUUGGUUUGAUGCGAUUUGUCUCCUGUGUGUAACUGCAGAGCUUGGCAGAACCCGGGCAGAUAUUUCUGGUGGGAUGCAACAUGAUGGUGACUCUUCUCCUGCCCAGCCCAACUGUGACAGGGAGCUGCUGCAACUAAUAAGUUGAUCCCACCUGGUGCAGAGAGCGCAGUGCCUCGCAGGGACAUCACCAUCCUGCUUAGUCCUGCAGUGAGCAGAGCUGGCAGCUGGAACUGGAGUGCGAUUUGGAGUGUGUUUGGGUUCCCUUGCCACUGUCAAGAAUUACCCUGAAGAGUACUUAAAUAUCUCUCUUAAUGAUUGCAUUAAGUUUCAUGCCACCGAUAUUCCUGGCAGUUCCUCUGCCAGCUAAAGUGCUAAAUAUCCUGAUUUUAUCGUGCAUACCUAUGGAUUACAAAUAGAUCUUAUUAACUGCUCAGAACUGACACAUCUAUUUGAAUAAAGGGGCUCAUUUCUUUGCAGGC
rnacentral:lncRNA from 7 species